GUUUUUCUAUAUGGCAAAAUGUCAGAAGGCAGGACCUGUGCUGAGCAUGGCGAGAUCGUUGCUUUACGUUCAUCAAAUAUAUAUCCGGAGCUAAAUUUUCCCAUCAAAUAUAUAUCCCGAAGCUAAUGAAAUAUUAAUCUCAAAUCGGUACACUGAUACGAUUCUCAUGGACACCAGGACGAACAUCUUGACCUGUGAAUGUCCUAAGCAGAUGUUACCCCUUGAGCAGCAUCGUGUUUUGCAAAACUUCGUCUACCUUUGCCGCUGCAUCGCUGAAUAUAUGAAUCUUGGACGGCUUCACGGGAUUGAUGACCAAACUCAAAAGCACUGAAAACGUCGUGAAAUGAACGAACUACGGAUACGAGCUGUAAUGAAGCCAUGCUUAAAAGCCCGGUGAAAUUGAAGGGUGGCUUACUCACAAUUCACAACGGUCAAUCAACCCAAAUAAAACGAAGAAAUAAUUCAAAUUCAAAUGCUGA